AGAUUGAACGCUGGCGGCAUGCCUUACACAUGCAAGUCGAACGGCAGCACGGGAGCAAUCCUGGUGGCGAGUGGCGAACGGGUGAGUAAUAUAAUCGGAACGUGCCCAGUCGUGGGGGAUAACGUAGAGAAAUUUACGCUAAUACCGCAUACGAUCCAAGGAUGAAAGCGGGGGACCGUAAGGCCUCGCGCGACUGGAGCGGCUGAUAUCAGAUUAGC
rnacentral:rRNA from 1 species